GUUUUUUUUUUUCUUUUUGUAAUUUACUGAUUUCCUUUUGUCAAUUUGUAUUGAAAAUAGAAUUAUAUUUUAUUUAAUCUAUUGCUGUCAAUUUAUUCUUGUAGAUCUGAAAAUUGUUAAUCAGAUAUAAUUUAUUGUAAAUUUAUUUGGGUAUCAAUAAUUUGGAAUAAUUUGUUCUCUUUGUAAAUCUAUUUGGGAUAAUUUCUUCUUCUUUAGAAACCUAUUUGGCUAUAUUAUAUUGAGUAUUUGAGAUAAUUUUAUUUUUAAAUAUGCUUGGAUUGCACUAAUUCAAUUUGUAUUUGGAAUUUAGAUUGGGAUGAGGCAGGGAUCCGCAACAUAGAUUUUUGGGCUGUAAGGAAUAGCUUGAUUAUACCAAGCUGAUCCGCAACAUAGAUUCUGCAUGGCUAUCUGUUCAAUGGGAUGAACCUUGUCCACCCUUCCUUCCAGAAAGAGUGUCACCAUGGGAAUUGGAACUGAGGAACAAGCGGGCAAAAACUAGCUCUACUGGGGUUACUUCUCAAAUAAGACCUUCUAAAGCUAAGUGUUCCAUUGUUUAUGAACAGGGGAGGGAGUAACUGAAAAGGAAGGUGAGACUGAGGUGGCGAUUUGUGGUGUUAGUGGAGCAGAUGUGCUAAAAUCUCAUGUAUCUGACCUUAACAGAAUAUACUGCAUUGAGGGAAAAUUUUGGGAGAAUUGCAGGCUUAAGAGAGCUAAUACAAUAGCAGUAGUGCUGGGAGAACUUGGUUCUGCACUGUCAUUGAAGGAAAAAACUUGGAUGUCAAUGACUCCUGAUGAGUUAACAACCAUAAUCCAAAGCGUUGAGGAUGCUUUGAAAGUUGGAUUCAAACUGGAUUGUCUAAAGCCUGUCGUAGAGAAAGCUAAAACAGUGUUGUGUUCUUUCAACAUUCGUUGCCGAUUGGAGGCAUUACAAAAGGAAAAAAGUUCUCUAGAAACUCAACUUCAGACUUUAAUUUCUCAAUUACAAUCUCUUGAACUAGAUCGAACGCCGAAGGACUUGAUUUAGAAUGUAGAUGUUUAGCUAGUAUCUUUAGCUAUGCAUCAGAUGAUUUCAGGAGAAUGAAAUUCUAGAUCACCUUCCUCUUUAUUAGAAAAUAAUAAAAGGAAAUGCCAAUAUGUAAUUCUAUUGUUAUUACACAAGUUACUUGACAAAGACUUUCCAUUUCAUCCUUACCAAUAACAAAUUAAAUUUGACUGGAAUAUGCCUAAUUGUUCCAUUUUCACAUCUUUGA